CGGGAUGUAGGUCAGUCUGGUUUAGACCGCUUGCUUUGGGAGCAAGAUGUCGGCGGUUCAAAUCCGUCCAUCCCGA
rnacentral:tRNA from 1 species